UGGGGAAUCUUCCGCAAUGGACGAAAGUCUGACGGAGCAACGCCGCGUGAGUGAAGAAGGUUUUCGGAUCGUAAAACUCUGUCUUUUGGGGCGAACGUGAGUAUGGUGAACAAUCAUAGUCAGUGACGGUACCAAAGGAGGAAGCCACGGCUAACUACGUGCCAGCAGCCGCGGUAAUACGUAGGUGGCAAGCGUUGUCCGGAAUUAUUGGGCGUAAAGAGCGCGUAGGCGGGAUAGUCAGUCUGUUGUAAAGUGCGGGGCUCAACCCCGUGAUCGCAAUGGAAACAGCUAUUCUUGAGUGCAGGAGAGGAAAGUGGAAUUCCCAGUGUAGCGGUGAAAUGCGUAGAUAUUGGGAGGAACACCAGUGGCGAAGGCGACUUUCUGGACUGUGUCUGACGCUGAGGCGCGAAAGCCAGGGGAGCGAACGGGAUUAGAUACCCCGGUAGUCCUGGCCGUAAACGAUGGGUACUAGGUGUGGGAGGUAUCGACCCCCUUCCGUGCCGGAGUUAACGCAAUAAGUACCCCGCCUGGGGAGUACGGUCGCAAGACUGAAACUCAAAUGAAUUGACGGGGGUCAUAGCUGUUUCCUG
rnacentral:rRNA from 1 species